rnacentral:tRNA from 1 species
UAUUGACUUGGCAGAUUAGUGUAUUAAAUUUAGGUUUUAAUUAAGUACUUAUAGUACAUUCAAUAA